GCCCAGGUGGCGGAAUUGGCAGACGCAGUAGACUCAAAAUCUUCCGGAGAAAUCCUUGUGGGUUCGAUUCCCACCCUGGGCACCA
rnacentral:tRNA from 3 species